UUUUGGCCGGCCAAAGCAAAGAACAAAGAGAAAAAGAGAAGAACAAACCCUAGGAAGGAAAAAUUCAAGAGAAAUUGAUGGAUUUUAAGGAAUCAAGCAAGUAAAGGUAAGAUUUUUUAAUUUUAGCUUGUGAUCUACCUUUCCCAUGCAUUCUUUUUCAUUUUUCAUGGCUGAAAUUCAAUUUUUCAAGAGGGAACCUUUGCUGUCCAAAUCUAGAGAGAGAAGUUUUGGUGAUGAAUUUUGCUAGAUUUCAUAAUAUCCUAGUGUUUUUAAUCAUUUUAUGAUGUUUGGAAGGAAAAACAAGCAAGAAAAUCACAUGUUCUUCAACCACCCUCAUUUGGCCGAAUUUUCUAUAGGGGAUGUUGAUGAUGGAUUUGGUUGUAUUGCAUGUUAUUUAGCUAGGAAUUGAUGAAUUAUGGGGUUGGAUAUCGAAACCGGUUAUUGAAAAAUAUAGUUCCUUUAGAAAAUGGCUUGAUGAAAAAUGAGAAAAUCAUAAUAAAUGGACUUGGAUUUGAUUCCUAAUGAUAUAUAUAUGGAUUUACGAGAUUAUGUAGACAUUGAUUAGUAUGUUAGUUCGGAAUCGGAAUGAAUUUUGGAAAAUGGUGAAGUUAGUCAAAAAUCAAGUUCAUUGAAAUGCUUUGGUGUAUUAGAUCAUUGGUAGUGGAAUGAGUAUAUUUGGAGUUGAAUCGGAUGUUUUGGCUAAAUCAAUCAUGUAUAGUUCGAAUUAGGCCGAAUACAAAUUCAUUCUGAUCACAAUUGAACCUACAUAGAAUACCGUCUUUAAGUUAUUAUUCGGACAAUUCUCAUUCAAUGUCAUGCAUUCAUAUAGAGCCUGAAAUAGUUUUAUAACAGUUUGGCACAAAUAUAUUGAAUUACAUGUCGUGCAUUAUUUAUAGGUGGUGACCCCUUUGAUAAGGGUAAAGAUAUUGUGCCCGAGGACCAAGAAUAGGAGUACUCCAAACUCCUGCUAUUGUGAGUAAUCAGACUUUCAUCUUAACUAUCUAAAGUAGUUUAUACUCGUUUUUAUGUUUUAAGGAAAAAUAAAUUUAAAUUGCAAACUAUUAUUUUUUAUAAUUGAAGUGUUGAUUAAACGAAAUGAGAUUUGUAACUUGUUUUGAAAUUGAAUACUGGUUUUGGAAAUUGAGUAAAUGGAGACUGUAUACUUGUGUUAUAUAUAUGUUUUGACAUAUGGUUUGAAUUGAUGGCUUAUGACAAUGUGAUGGCAAUCAUGGCUGGAUUUGUGUUUAUGUGGAAUAUAUGAACUGUUUUGCUUUGCCUUGACAGGCUAGUAAUAUUAUAUUAGCCAUGUCAUGCUGUCAAAAAUUUUAUUGAAUUGGUGGAUUAUUUGAUUAGCUUACUGCAAUGGGCGGGUUUCCAUGGACC
rnacentral:lncRNA from 1 species